UAAUACAGAGACCUCAAGCGUUAUCCGGAAUCAUUGGGCGUAAAGCGUUCCGAUAGGUUGUUUUGAAAGUUUUGGGUAAAAGCCAGAAGCUUAACUUCUGAGUUUGCUCAAAAUACUGCAAGACUAGAGGGGCAAAGAGGUGCUUGGAACGAACGGUGUAGUAGUGAAAUGCGUUGAUAUCGUUCGGAACACCGAAAGCGAAGGCAGAGCACUGGGUGCCACCUGACACUGCUAGGACGAAAGCGUGGGGAGCGAAUGGGAUUAGAUACCCCAGUAGUCCACGCUGUAAACGAUGAAUACUAGGCAUGCGCGAGUAUCGACCCUCGUGCGAGCCGUAGCUAACGCGUUAAGUAUUCCGCCUGGGGAGUACGGUCGCAAGACUA
rnacentral:rRNA from 1 species